UUACGACGACCUCGACCUCGACCUCUCGCCUCUCUCGUAGUCUCCUUUGAUUCCCACUCCGGAUCUCUCCUCUCUCGCCCACGACCUUUCCGCCGCCAUCGCUAUCCUUCCCUUUGGCUCGCAGAUUCUCGUGCCUCAGUCCUCGGCCGCCCUCUCCUUUUCCCGUCUUCUCUCAUGACGGAGACGAGCUCCACCUCAGGCCGGUUGCGGCACCACACCACGGGAGCCAGUACCUGAUUUUUCCUACAUAGCAUCUGGAGUCCUUGGGAGUGCUGCUGCCAGAUCCAACCUCGCCCGAGCACCCGGUCAGAGUUUAUACGCCCGGAUUUAAUUUACAGGUGUAAAUAACCAGCUGCAGUGUAUUUUCCGUCUGGAAUAGAAACGAGGGAUGGAGGUCUGUAUCGAUUACGGAGGUAUUUGGGAGGCAACCGACAAUCCAAGCGGGGCCUUAUAUGUGGAUGGCAACAGAAGAUGAUCAAUAACUUUCAAGAAAUCUGAACCUGAAGUUGUCAAAGUUGAGUGCAAUCUUAUUUUCGUUUUCUUUUGUAGUUUAGGACUAAAAAUGACUAGGAGGCAACUGAAUGUGCUUACAUUUUCAGAGCAGCCGUUGUCAGGUCUUAUCAUCUUAUCAUGGAGUCAAUCGACAGUGAGCACUUGUGCGUGGGAAACCUUCAAGUUCUAGGUGGCAUCAGACAAGAGGUUGUUCGUCUUAUCAUAAAGUGCCACAAGAAUUACAACCCAACAGAAACUGAAUUUGUUUCCCAUUUACCCAAAUUGAAAUGAUACUGCAGCAGCUUCUCCGAGAGCUCUCGGAUCGACAGGUGAAGGUACAAGAUGGUGUCCAUUCAACAAGGGGUGGUAGUUCGAUCCAUGGCGCCACUGCACAUUCAGCUCUAUCUCCAUCCGUCUUGGCUGGCGAUCAUCCCUUCUUCCUAGCCGCCAGCCUCCGUGAUAAUUUUAGAUUGUUGGAUUGUGAAGCGAGAUUCUAGCCAUCAGCGGAGAGGUGAUUUAUUUGGGAUAAAAGGAUCUCCCAGUCUUUCAAAUUACUGUCAAUCUGCCAUUCCUCCAAUCAGUGAAGGCCAGCUGCUGCUCCUGAUCAUGGCUUAACUUUCAUACGUGUUUUGAACUAUAUUCAUACUCCAUGUGCUUUGGAGUAUAUUCAUAGUUCAGUAGCGAGUAUAAAUCAACUCGAUGUGCAGAUGGACAUAUACAAUUAUAAAAGAAAAUGGACCUUCCAGCUCAGUAUUUUUCUCUUUUGUGUUAUUACUUGCUACUGGUUGGAGUAUCUUGUAUUUCGUAAGGAAAGGGAAAACUUCUAUGACGUAACUUGUUUUAGUCCAUUUUAUAUCUAUAGUUUUAUGCUUGCUUUCAUUUCCAUUUAUUUACAAGCUUACUGAUUAUUGUAUCGUUGAAAAGUAUGGGCAAGGCAACAUGGUCCAUCAUGGUGGAAGCCUUGCCAUUCUCUCCACGACAUACUGAUGUUAUGCAAGUUUCCAAUUUGAGAAACACCUUAUUCUAUUU